AUUGAACGCUGGCGGCAGGCCUAACACAUGCAAGUCGGGCGAGCGGCGGACGGGUGAGUAAUGUAUGGGGACUGCCUGAUGGAGGGGGAUAACUACUGGAAACGGUAGCUAAUACCGCAUACCAUCAGAUAACACAUAUGGGAUUAGCUUGUAGGUGAGGUAACGGCUCAACUAGGCGACGAUCCCUAGCUUGGUUGAGAGGAUGAUCAGCCACACUGGGACUUAGAACCGGCCCCGAAUCCUACGGAGGCAGGAGUUGGGAAUAAUGCACAAUUGGCGCAAGCCCGAUGCAGCCCUGGCGCGUGUAUGAAGAAGGGCUUCGGGUUUGAAAGUAAUUUCCGUCCGGGGGCGGUAACGAAAGAAGAAGCCACGGCUAACUCCGUGCCAGCCGCCGCGGUAAUUC
rnacentral:rRNA from 1 species